GAUGAACGCUAGCGGCAGGCCUAAUACAUGCAAGUCGAACGGUGUCUUCGGACAUAGUGGCGCACGGGUGCGUAACACGUAUGCAGCCUACCUUACAUUGGGGGAUAGUCUUUCGAAAGGGAGAUUAAUACCGCAUAAGACAGUAGCUGGGCAUCCAGCAGCUGUUAAAGAUUUAUCGAUGUAAGCUGGGCAUGCGUCCAAUUAGCUAGUUGGUGAGGUAACGGCUCACCAAGGCAAUGAUUGGUAGGGGAACUGAGAGGUCAAUCCCCCACACUGGCACUGAGAUACGGGCCAGACUCCUACGGGAGGCAGCAGUAGGGAAUAUUGGGCAAUGGACGCAAGUCUGACCCAGCCAUGCCGCGUGCAGGAUGAAGGCGUUAUGCGUUGUAAACUGCUUUUAUACAGGAAGAAACGACUCUUGCGAGAGGCAUUGACGGUACUGUAUGAAUAAGCACCGGCUAACUCCGUGCCAGCAGCCGCCGUAACAC
rnacentral:rRNA from 1 species